rfam:Desulfuromonas soudanensis strain WTL chromosome, complete genome.
UCCGAUAAGGGCUAACCCGGAGCAAUCCGGGGGCGCAGAGCCAAGGGUCCCACUGGGACAGCCGAGCUGCCGAAG